rnacentral:misc_RNA from 1 species
AAAAAUAUCAAAUGCCUGGUCGGUGGCUCGGUCCCUCUCUUUUCAGUUGAAAGAAAAAGAUAUAGAAAAGCAAGGUACAGAAAGAGAAAGUGCGGGAAAGUGCGAGAAAAAGCGAAAGGAAAUUUUAGUUGACGGAUUUCCACUACACAACUGUACCCGAUUGCGGAAUUUAGGUUUCUAUGCUACUAGGUUGGUGAUUGGACUCCGGAGAUGGCGAGCCCGGUCACUCCUAGUACGGGUAGACCUUUAUCGAUAACGCCUGGUGCCAGGGUUUUGAAGACCCCACUCAGCGACGAGACUAUCUGGAAACGGCUCAAGGAGGUAGGGUUUGAUGAGGACUCCAUUAGAAUAAGAGACAAAGCUGCUCUCACAGCUUAUAUCGCGAAACUUGAAUCUGAGAUCUUUGACCUUCAACACCACAUGGGUCUUCUCAUAUUGGAAAGAAACGAUUUUACUUCAAAAUAUGAGCAGAUCAAAGCCUCUUCUGAAGCAGCUGAACUAAAACAAAAGCGUGAUCAAGCUGCACACUUGUCUGCUUUAGCUGGAGCAAUAAAACGAGAAGAAAGUUUAAAGAAGGCUUUGGGAGUUGAGAAAGAGUGUAUGACAAGUAUUGAGAAGGCCUUGCAUGAGAUGCGUGCUGAAUCUGCUGAAACCAAGUUUGCUGCUGAAUGUAAAUUGGCUGAUGCACGUAGUAUGGUUGAAGAUGCGCAGAAAAAAUACAUGGAUUCUGAGGCAAAACUGCUUGCUGCAGAAGCCUUACAAGCAGAAGCUAGCAAGUAUCGUUGAGCUGCAGAAAGAAAGCUCCAGGAAGUUGAAGCACGUGAAGAUGAUCUUGGCAGGCGUACCAGUGCUUUCAAGGCUGAUUGUGAUGCAAAAGAGAAGGAGAUUGUUAUUGAGAGACAACUUUGAGUGAGAGACGGAAAGUUCUGCAGCAGGAACAUGAAAGGUUACUUGAUGGACAAGCUUUGUUGAAUCAGAGGGAGGAUUAUGUUGCUAGCAAAUGUCAAGAGCUAAAUCGUCUGGAAAAGGAGUUGGAGAACUCAAAAACAAGGAUUGAGAAGGAACUUAGAGACUUGCAUGACAAGAUAUCCAACUUGGAGCUGACUGUGGCUUCCUUGACUCAAAGAGAAGCAGUUAUAUUUUCAAUUUUUUAAAUAUCAGUGUGAAUUGCUGUCCUAUUAAAUUGUUCCUGAGUUUCUUGAAAAAAAAUAUUUAUUUCGGUUUUCUUUGGGUGAAUGUAGGCUGUUAUCGAGAGGGAAGCUCUACUAAACAAGAGAGAGCAAGAGUUACUUGAUUUUCAAGAAAAACUGACAGGCAAGGAAUCUGUUGAAAUUCAGAAAGUUAUUGCCAAUCAUGAGAUUGUUCUGAAAACAAGAAAGUCAGAAUUAGAAGCUGAGCUGGAGAUGAACUGCAAAUUGGUGGAAGAUGAAAUUGAGGCCAAGAGACGAGCUUGGGAAUUGAGGGAGUUGGAUCUUAAACGACGGGAGGAUAUGUUGAGUGAAGGGAACAUGACUUAGAGGUUCAGUCAAGGACGUUGGCUGAUGAGGAGAAAGAUGUGGCACAGAAGAUGAAUAUUCUUGAUGAGAGAGAAAGAAGUCUUAUUGCUGCUGAGAAGGACAGUGAAUUAAGGAGAGCACUUCUACAGCAAGAAAAAGAGGAGAUUAACAAAAUAAAGUUAGAACUCCAGGAGUCUUUGAAUUCCUUGGAAGACAAAAAGAAACAAAUAGAUUGUGCAAAGGAGAAACUUGAGACUAUGGCAUGUGAAACAAAUGAGCUCUCGGUUUUGGAGAUGAAACUUAAAGAAGAGGUUGAUAUGGUCAGGGCUCAGAAAUUGGAACUUAUGGCUGAAGAAGACAGAUUGAAGGUUGAAAAGGCUAAGUUUGAAACUGAAUGGGAGUUGAUUGAUGAAAAAAGGGAAGAACUGCGGAUGGAAGCUGAGCAUAUAGUUGAGGUGAGGCAAGCUGUUUGUAGGUUACUCAAGGAUGAGUGGGAUAGCCUAAUACUAGAGAAGGAAACAAUUCGAGAACAACAUAAGCGAGAUGUUGAGUCACUUAACCAUGAACGGGAGGAAUUCAUGAACAAGAUGGAGUAUGAGCAUUUGGUGUGGUUCAACAAAAUUCAGAAGGAACAUACAGAUUUCUUGUUGGGUAUUGAAAUGCAGAAGAGAGAGCUGGAGAACAGUAUAGAGAAAAGGCGAGAAGAGAUAGAAAGUUAUUUAAGGGAUCAAGAGAAAGCCUUUGAGAUAGAAAAGAAAAUUGAACUCCAACAUAUUGUUUCUCUUAAAGAGAAAGCAGCAAAAGAGUUGGAGCAGGUUCGUUUCGAACUGAAGAAGCUUGAUUCUGAGAGAACAGUGAUAAAUUUAGACCGUGAGAGAAGGGACAGGGAAUGGGCUGUGCUGAAUAAAUCCAUUGAGGAACUUAAGGAUCAAAUCAGAAAUUGGAAAAACAGAGGGGAUUAUUACAUACAGAAAGAGAGGGGGUUUGUGCUCAGAUUGAACACCUGAAAAGAUUGGAAGAUUUGAAGCUUAUGUUGGAUAACAUGGAAGUGGCUAAGAUACAACUGUCAAACAUGGAGUCUAGCCUGCAGAAAAUCUCUGCAAUAAGAUAUUUGAGAAGUCACUCCUCUGUAAAAGAUACUGAUCUGGUUUCACGUGAACGGGAAGAUACUACUAACAAUGGAAAAAGACUUGAUUCUCCAUCUAUGCAAAAAUCAGUUGUUGAUUCUGCUCGUUUCUCUUGGAUCAAGCGUUGCACUGAACUGAUAUUCAAAAGUUCUCCUGAGAAGCCCUUGUUGAAGAGUGAAGAAAAGUCUCUGAUAUCCAACAAUGAUGAUGCAAUUUUGGCUUCUGCUGGCAAAUUGGAUUCUUCCAAUGGAUAUCAUGGACAAAAGCUGAAAUCAAUCGAGAGUUCUGGCAACAGACAGCCAAUGAGAUAUGCUAUUGGUGAACCAGAGGUGACACCUGAACCCCCUGAAGAUGAAACUGCCAAGGGAAAACGUGAUAAAGAAUCUGAAACAAAGAAAGAUGCUAAUGAAGAGAUUGCUCCCUCAUUUUCUGAACAAGCACGUCCUGCUGGAAGGAAAAGGAGAGUUAAAAACUCUCCUUUGGAUGUUUCUACUGAUCCCCAGCCAGAGCAAAGACAGAACAAUAAAAGGAGGAGGCAACAAAAAGGCGCUGCUGUGAAUUUAUCCAUAUCUAAAGAUGCCAACAACCCCAGUGUGACUUCAACCAAGAUCUAUGCACCAGAAGAUCAGCAUUUAACUGAAGGUGCUGAAGAUGCUGAUGUAGUAAUUGCGGAAAGAAUCAUCAAAAUUUCAGAAGCUUCUGAAGUGACAUGUGAUUAUUGUGAUGUUCAAGAUGGAGGAACAAAUGGUAAUUCCAAUGAGAAAUGUGUGGAGCGUAGUGUGGUGCCGUGUAGCUCUGAGGUAUCAGUAAUGUUAAAAGAUCAAAUGGGGCAUGUUGGGCAAGGUACUGACCAACAUCAGGUAACUAUUAAAUGUGCUCUUUAUCAUUGGAUGUGAAUAUACAGAAGUAAGGGGUGCUGCUUUUUCACAUUUUAUGAUCUCUGUGGGUUAUGAUUUUGGAUUAAAGUCCUGAUGGUAAGCUGUUUUUAACAUGCAUUUGUAGAAAAGAGCUUUAUGUUUCUGUCCAUGCCAAUUGAAUUUCCUGUGUUGCUGUUUUUUCACAUAUCCUUUAGUUUCAUUCCUUUUGAAGUCUCAGAUAUGUUUGCACUUCUAUUUUGCUAGUCCCAUGAGGAUGCAUCCAAAACCAGUGAUCUGAGGGUUGAAGAUUCCGCUGUUGCCAGAUCUGACAACAGUGAGAAAGUUGCUACUUGCUGGAGAUAUUGGAAGGAGGACAAGAUCAAAACAGAAGUCAUAGAAUUCUAGCUGUUGCCUUGUUUUGCUGUGUUUAUGAUCAGGCAAGCAUAGAGUAUCUUUAAAAUUUUUUAUUUUGGUCACUUCAGUCAAUGAUGAGAACGCAACGUCAGGCAGCCUACUAAUUUUUUUUUUCUGUCCGCUGGAGGUACUAACAAUUCAUCGGUUGGGUUUACUUCUACCAGUUCACGUGUCUUGUGGUGUCCCCAAAUGUGUGAUUGGAUCAUCUCAAAGCGGGUGUGAAAGUCUGUAAAUGAUAUGUCUAUUUUUAUCGGGUUUCAUGGGGUAGUUUGUUGAUUUUUAGAGUCCUUGAGUAUUAGGUUUGGAAAUUUAUGUACAGACAUAACAGGCAAUUGUGCAUCCUCGUUUGGCCCAUGGGUCGUGCGUGGUUCUUACCUUCUUUAAAGUUAGCGUUUUGCAUAGUAAGAUUCAAAUAUCCCUAUCUUGGUGUCGAGAACUUCUCGAUGAGAAGCGUUGAAACGAGGCGACAUUUUUAUUGCUCUCUAGCAAUCGAAAGCAAGGUGUGUUUCUUGUCAUGUUUGACAUUUUUUUUUUU